UGCUUGGUUCCCUAUUUGUUUGCUUUGUUUUGUUGAAUUGAUGAAUGAAUUUAGUUAGUAGGUUAGUUUUGUUUUUUGAGACAGGGUUUCUCUGUGGAGCCUAGUUGUCCUGAAACACACUCUGUAGACCAAGCUGGCCUUGAACUCACAGCUCCUCCUGCCUCUACCUCCCUAGUGCUGGGAUUAAAGGCGUGCGCCGCCGCCGCCACCACCUCCCAGCUUUGUUUUAAGUUUUAAAUCAUAUUUUUAACGAUUUCUUUGAAGAUUUCACAGAAUGUAUUUUUACCUGCCCUCCUCCAGUUCCUCGCAGAUCCACCAUCACUUCCCUUCCCACCAAACCUUGUGUUAUCUUUUGCUUUGAGCCCACUAAGUCCAAUCUGUGUUCCCCAACUACGCUUGGGGGUGUGGGGCCUGCCUUAGACUGUGAGCCACCUACCAGGGGCUCACACCAUGAAAGAGAACUGACAGCUCUCAGGAGCCAGUAGAUCCUCAGCUGGGGGCAGGGAUCUAUUCCAUCACUCCCCUUCCGUGUCGGGAUUUCGUGCAGCUCAGACGGGUCCAAGUCUUACACAAGCUGUCCUAACUGCUGUGCGUUUAUAUAACAACUACCCGGUUGUGUUUAGAAAACACUGUUUUCGAGAAGUCGUCCAUCUGGCUCUUAGCAAUCCACCUGCUCCCGCCCUGUGAAGAUCCCUGGGACUCAGGAUGACGUGAUGACGUGAUGACGGGAUGACGUAGACAUCCCACGUAGGCUGGGCACUCUGCAGUCAGUUAUCCCCUGCAUGUUGACUGGUUCUGCAUUAAUUGCCAUUUGCUGCAAGAGGAAGCCUUUCCGCUUAGAGCAGAGAGACGCGCUCACUCGUUAGGAGUCAGUUGGGUGCUAGAUUUAUUCAGUAGUAGUGUGUUCUCUCCCAGGGCGUUAUCACCUAUCUGGCCACAGGAUCUUGGCCCCAUAGACAGUGCGAGCUAUGGAUUCCAUCUUUAGACUGGGGCCUUAAACGCCCUGUCCCCACCCCUAAAAAAAAAUGGUUGGUUGUUUCCAUAUCUCUUCUGCCACUGUUGCAGCCAUGGGUUUAUCUUGCUAAGCCAGUCAUUAUUUUUGCUUCUGGGAUUUAGAACUGGGU
rnacentral:lncRNA from 1 species